rnacentral:misc_RNA from 1 species
UCUCCGUAGGUGAACCUGCGGAGGGAUCAUUACUGAGUGAGGGCUCACGCCCGACCUCCAACCCUUUGUGGACCCAUCUCGUUGCUUCGGGGGCGACCCUGCCGCUUCGGCGGUGCGGCGCCCCCGGAGGCCAUCAAACCCUGCGUAACUAAGUCGUCGGAGUUUAAACAAAUUAAACAAAACUUUCAACAACGGAUCUCUUGGUUCGGGCAUCGAUGAAGAACGCAGC